rnacentral:misc_RNA from 1 species
AAGUCGUAACAAGGUUUCCGUAGGUGAACCUGCGGAAGGAUCAUUAACACAAUUUUACUGUGAUAAAAUCCGUUGAAUUCUCACGAAUUCAAUGGUAUCCACCCCAUUAUUGAAGAACUUUUCUUAGAUGUUUCAAAAAAACAUAGAGUUUAGUCUUUACGUUUUUUGAUAACAUUCUAAAAACCUUUUUCUUUACCCUAUAAUAUUUUUAACCCCUUUUUACAACAUGUCUUAGACUGAAAUGAAAAUUUUCUAUCAAAAAAAAUUGAUAAAAACAACUUUUAACAACGGAUAUCUUGGCUCUC